rnacentral:rRNA from 1 species
GCUUACGGCCACGACGCCUGCUUAAUGCCCGAUCUCGUUUGAUCUCGGAAGCUAAGAUAGGUUGGGCCUGGUUAGUACUUGGAUGGGAGACAGCCUGGGAAUACCAGGUGCUGUAAGCU